ACAUGCAGUCGAGCGGACUUGAAGAGAAGCUUGCUUCUCGGAUGGUUAGCGGCGGACGGGUGAGUAACACGUAGGCAACCUGCCCUCAAGUUUGGGACAACUACCGGAAACGGUAGCUAAUACCGAAUAGUUGUUUUCUUCUCCUGAAGAGAACUGGAAAGACGGAGCAAUCUGUCACUUGGGGAUGGGCCUGCGGCGCAUUAGCUAGUUGGUGGGGUAACGGCUCACCAAGGCGACGAUGCGUAGCCGACCUGAGAGGGUGAUCGGCCACACUGGGACUGAGACACGGCCCAGACUCCUACGGGAGGCAGCAGUAGGGAAUCUUCCGCAAUGGGCGAAAGCCUGACGGAGCAAUGCCGCGUGAGUGAUGAAGGUUUUCGGAUCGUAAAGCUCUGUUGCCAGGGAAGAACGCUUGGGAGAGUAACUGCUCUCAAGGUGACGGUACCUGAG
rnacentral:rRNA from 2 species